AGACCCGAAACCCGGUGAUCUAGCCAUGGGCAGGUUGAAGGUUGGGUAACACUAACUGGAGGACCGAACCGACUAAUGUUGAAAAAUUAGCGGAUGACCUGUGGCUGGGGGUGAAAGGCCAAUCAAACCGGGAGAUAGCUGGUUCUCCCCGAAAGCUAUUUAGGUAGCGCCUCGUGAAUUCAUCUCCGGGGGUAGAGCACUGUUUCGGCUAGGGGGCCAUCCCGGCUUACCAACCCGAUGCAAACUGCGAAUACCGGAGAAUGUUAUCACGGGAGACACACGGCGGGUGCUAACGUCCGUCGUGAAGAGGGAAACAACCCAGACCGCCAGCUAAGGUCCCAAAGUCAUGGUUAAGUGGGAAACGAUGUGGGAAGGCCCAGACAGCCAGGAUGUUGGCUUAGAAGCAGCCAUCAUUUAAAGAAAGCGUAAUAGCUCACUGGUCGAGUCGGCCUGCGCGGAAGAUGUAACGGGGCUAAACCAUGCACCGAAGCUGCGGCAGCGACACUCAGGUGUUGUUGGGUAGGGGAGCGUUCUGUAAGCCUGUGAAGGUGUGUCGUGAGGCAUGCUGGAGGUAUCAGAAGUGCGAAUGCUGACAUAAGUAACGAUAAAGCGGGUGAAAAGCCCGCUCGCCGGAAGACCAAGGGUUCCUGUCCAACGUUAAUCGGGGCAGGGUGAGUCGACCCCUAAGGCGAGGCCGAAAGGCGUAGUCGAUGGGAAACGGGUUAAUAUUCCCGUACUUGGUGUUACUGCGAAGGGGGGACGGAGAAGGCUAUGUUGGCCGGGCGACGGUUGUCCCGGUUUAAGCGUGUAGGUGUGUGUUCCAGGUAAAUCCGGUUCACUUUAACACUGAGGCGUGACGACGAGGCACUACGGUGCUGAAGCAACAAAUGCCCUGCUUCCAGGAAAAGCCUCUAAGCAUCAGGUAACAUCAAAUCGUACCCCAAACCGACACAGGUGGUCAGGUAGAGAAUACCAAGGCGCUUGAGAGAACUCGGGUGAAGGAACUAGGCAAAAUGGUGCCGUAACUUCGGGAGAAGGCACGCUGACAUGUAGGUGAAGUGAUUUACUCAUGGAGCUGAAGUCAGUCGAAGAUACCAGCUGGCUGCAACUGUUUAUUAAAAACACAGCACUGUGCAAACACGAAAGUGGACGUAUACGGUGUGACGCCUGCCCGGUGCCGGAAGGUUAAUUGAUGGGGUCAGCGCAAGCGAAGCUCCUGAUCGAAGCCCCGGUAAACGGCGGCCGUAACUAUAACGGUCCUAAGGUAGCGAAAUUCCUUGUCGGGUAAGUUCCGACCUGCACGAAUGGCGUAAUGAUGGCCAGGCUGUCUCCACCCGAGACUCAGUGAAAUUGAACUCGCUGUGAAGAUGCAGUGUACCCGCGGCAAGACGGAAAGACCCCGUGAACCUUUACUAUAGCUUGACACUGAACAUUGAGCCUUGAUGUGUAG
rnacentral:rRNA from 1 species